UACGGAGGGUGCAAGCGUUAUCCGGAUUCAUUGGGUUUAAAGGGUACGUAGGUGGCUUUGUAAGUCAGUGGUGAAAUCCUGCCGCUUAACGGUAGAACUGCCAUUGAUACUGCAAAGCUUGAGUACAGUUGAGGUAGGCGGAAUGUGUAGUGUAGCGGUGAAAUGCUUAGAUAUUACACAGAACCCCGAUUGCGAAGGCAGCUUACUAAACUGUAACUGACGCUGAGGUACGAAAGCGUGGGGAGCGAACAGG
rnacentral:rRNA from 1 species